GACGUAGGGCGCGAGCGUUGUCCGGAUUUAUUGGGCGUAAAGAGCGUGUAGGCGGCCAUGCAGGUCCGUUGUGAAAACUCGAGGCUCAACCUCGAGACGCCGAUGGAAACCGCAUGGCUAGAGUCCGGAAGAGGAGAGUGGAAUUCCUGGUGUAGCGGUGAAAUGCGCAGAUAUCAGGAAGAACACCCGUGGCUAAGGCGGCUCUCUAGUACGGUACUGACGCUGAGACGCGAAAGCGUGGGGAGCGAACAGG
rnacentral:rRNA from 1 species